AUCUUUAAAGAUACAACAACUUUAAAAAAAUCUGUAACAUUAAAUAAUUGUGUUUUUUUGAAUAGAUCGAUUUAAUUAUAAAGUUUGACUCAUGACAUCACUAGGAAAAGUAAGUCUAUUGCAUUUUCAACAACUGGACAUCCCGAUUUACGUCAACCUGAAAAAAUGACGGUCGCGAAGAACAACAAAGCUGUAUUAAAACGAGCAAGAUCAAAGCGCAUUCUAGCGUUGAUUCCUGCAGGAAAUGCACGAUCGGACGACAGUGACACAACAGACAAUGAGGAAGAUAACACAGCCAGUGACACAACAUUGCCAGUUUAUGGAAUACAACAUGAUUCUUAUAAUAGUUCCUCAACACCUUCACUGGAUUCGGAUAAAAUAUAAUGUGAGAUUAUGUCUAACUAAACAACGGAACUGUUUUUACGAUUUUCAUGUAAAAAAAUAAAUUUUCUUACCAAUUAACUAUUUUAUUUUAUAACCCCGAUUUGGUAAUGUAUCCUUUUGGAUACAUUAUCGAAAAACUAUACCUUCCUCCGUAUUUGGCAAUGUGUAAAAUAAGAUACAUAUUAUUUCAGCGCAAUUACUGAAAAAAAAAAUUUUUGAAUAUUUUUCUCUAUUUCCUUAUACCUCAAAUAAUUAGACUACAGUAUUUUUUUUAUAAAAUUUGAUAAAGAUUAUGCUUGCCAAAUUAAGGGUUAAACUCUUUGAAUGACA
rnacentral:lncRNA from 1 species